rnacentral:lncRNA from 1 species
GAAAUUCGAUUUGUGCCCUAUCAUUCAUCCAUGGCUUUUGUCAACGCCAUCGAAGUGUUCUCUGCUCCUAAUGACCUCGAAAUUCCGUCAGACUCCGACAAGAAUCUGCAUACGGUUUACAGAUUAAACGUAGGAGGCAAGAAUAUCACACCAGAAAACGACACCUUGGGAAGAACUUGGUCAGUUGACGAGGACUUCCUCUACGAAAAAGAUUCUGCGAGGAACAUUAAUUCAACACAAAAGCCUAACUACGAGUCAGGGACAGCGACGCCAUUCACUGCUCCUGAUUUUGUCUAUCAGACAGCGAAAACGAUGAACCAUAGCUCGAAUGAGGGGAUGGCAGAUGGGAUGUUGAUGAACGUUACUUGGUCAUUUAAGGUCAAUAGCAACUCUAGACACUUCAUCAGGGUUCACUUCUGUGAUAUCAAGAGUGAAUCACAAAAUCCCGACUCCGAUUUCUAUCUCUAUGUAAACGGACAAUCACGACUAGAUGUAAAGCCUUCAGAGCGUAUUAGGUUGGUGACUCCGUUUUUCAAAGAUGUGAAUGUCUCUGAUGGUUUUGGACUCUUGAAUGUUACAAUAGGUACUAAGGAUUCCACUAAGGAUGCUGGUUUUCUGAAUGGUCUGGAGGUGAUGGAGUUUUUGAAAAAGUCAGAUUCUUCAGAUAAAAGUAGUUUCCGGGUUUACAUCAUCGCUGGCUGUGUUGUUGCUGCAUCGGUUCUGGUAUUGAGUUUGUUGUUCACAGUUUUCUUGAAGCGGAGGAGAUCGAAGAAGGAGAAUAAGUCAGACGCUGAGGUCACUGAAUGGUCUCCUUUGCCAUUGUACAGAGGUGGUGGGAGUUCCGACAAUAGACCUUCUGAUCCGGUCAACAAUUCUCCAUUACGCAGCAAUAGAACUUUUGAUCCGGUCCAUAAUUCGCCAUUACGCAACCUAAACUUAGGCUUGACCAUUCCCUUCAUAGACAUUAUGAGAGCUACAAACAAUUUCGAUGAGCAGUGGUUGAUCGGGAGAGGCGGUUUUGGAGACGUUUACAAAGCCAUUCUUCAAGAUGGAAGCAAAGCGGCUAUCAAGAGAGGCAAGAGUGGUUCAGGACAAGGACUAUUGGAGUUUCAAACAGAGAUUCAAGUCCUGUCGAGAAUCCGGCACAGGCACCUCGUUUCUCUAACGGGUUACUGCGAAGAGAACUCGGAGAUGAUCCUUGUCUACGAGUUUAUGGAGAAAGGUACGCUUAAAGAGCAUCUAUACGGCUCGGAUUUGCCUUCACUGACAUGGAAACAGAGACUAGAGAUUUGCAUCGGAGCAGCUAGAGGUUUGCAUUAUCUCCACAGUGGCUCAGAAGGAGCAAUCAUUCACAGAGAUGUCAAAUCCACAAACAUACUACUAGACGAGAACACCGUAGCCAAAGUCGCGGAUUUCGGGCUCUCAAACUCGCGGUUCGUAAUCAAGAUCCAAUCAAUAUCAGCACUAACAUCAAAGGAACAUUCGGUUACCUCGAUCCUGAGUAUCUGCAGACACACAUCUUGACGGAGAAAUCAGAUGUUUACGCUUUCGGAGUCGUUCUCCUCGAGGUCCUGUGCGCGAGAUCGGCUCUCGAUCCUUCUCUUCCUCACGAGGAAGUGAAUCUAGCGGAGUGGGCGAUGUUCUGCAAAUCCAAAGGGAUAAUCGAUGAGAUCUUAGAUCCGAAAUUGAUAGGUCAGAUCGAGCCGAGUUCGUUGAGGAAAUACAUGGAAAUCGCGGAGAAGUGUUUGAAAGAGUACGGCGACGAGAGGCCGAGCAUGGGGGAUGUGAUCUGGGAUCUGGAGUAUGUUCUUCAGCUUCAGAUGAUGCCGAUUCGCAGAGAGCCUCACGAGGAUAGCGCCGCGACGAUCUCCGGCGGCGGAGGCGAAAGCUCGUUGGUGAUUCCGAGGUUGAUGGUGAGUGAUUCGUUUAGCUCAAACUCGAUUGUUCAGAAGAACGAAGGGAAGAGUAGCUAUGGAGGUACAGAUUCAUCGGAGAGUCGAGUUUUCUCCCAAUUGAAGAUCUCCGAAGCAAGAUAAAAUUUCCUAUGAAACAUUCUGAUUUGAAAAGCGUCUGGUUUAAAGCUUUUGAUAUUAAAAACCGGUUAUUGCCGGUUUAAAUAUAAUCAUUUUAAAACAUAUGCAAAGUAACGAGUCAAUUGAAUGUAAUAUAAAAUUAAAACCCGGUUAUCGUCGGUUUAAAGUUAAUUAUUCUAAGACAAAUGCUAAUUUCCGAAUCGAAAAACAAUUCAAUUUAAUUAACCGAUAAAAACCUAAUUUCAAGAAAAGUUCUGAUUUGAUAAGUGAUUGGUUUAAUUUUUGAAAUUGAAACCCGGUUCCUGCCGGUAUAACGACUCAGCUGUUUGUGAUGUCGGCGAUGAACGAGUCCAGAUUCCGAGCCGAUGAUCCACCAGACGCCAACGCCGAUCUCGCCGCGUGCUUCAGCUCCGUCACUCUCCUCCUCAUAUCCGCGGCGGCAGAUCCUUCCCUCACGGCCUCAAUACAUCUCUCCACCUCUUCAACCUUAAGCUCUCCGUCGACAGCGUCGUUCCUCAUCCUCACUCCGAUCCCGAACACAUCCACAAGCAAUCUCGCGUCAAGCGGCUGAUCAAUCCAGCUCGGGUACGCCACCACCGGAACACCAGUCACCACCGUCUCCAUCGUCGAGUUCCAUCCACAGUGCGUGACGAAACAAGAGAUCGCCACGUGACUCAGUAUCCACUCUUGUGGACCCCACUCAAUCACAAUACCUUGACCUUCUCUAACCAUCUCCUGCAAAACGUCGACGUUUUCGCCUUUCUCCUUUGGCCUAAUCACCCAGAGAAACGAAACUCCUCUGUUUCUCAGAGCCGUUGCUAUGCUCUUAACUUGAGUCUCCGAAGAUUUCAGCAAACUUCCAAAAGAAAUGUAAACAACCGAAGACCUAGCUUGCUUGUCAAGCCACUCCAUACAAUACUCAUCCGAUUUCCACAUAUCAAGAUUUUUACCAUCUAGGGUUUUGUCUUCUUCAUCAGCUCCCAACAGAAAUGGAGAAACCAGAGGACCAAUUGGGAUCAUGGGUUUUAAACCAGACAUCGAUUCGAUUAUCUCUGAUUCGAGCUCGUAGAACGAAUUAACCAAAACCCAUUUCACAUCUUUCAAGCAAUCGACGAACUCCACCAUUAGGCUAUUGAAAUGACUUCCUGAAGAAGGCAAGAGAAACGAAGGGAGAUCUCCAACUUCCAACAAUGGUAAACCUGGCAAUUCAACCGUUUGAUUCAAAUCUUCGAGAUUCUCAGGGAAAGCAUUCGUCUUCAUGUAGUAACGGUAAUAAACCGAGAAAGCUCCACAAGCUUCGAUCCAGAGGAUUGCACAGGGGAUGUUAUAUGCAGCUGCAACACUUGGAACCCAUGGAGCAAAAGGCACAGUGACGAUGCAAGAGAAUCUCUUUGAUUCGACGAUUUUAGACAAGUUCUUGGCUCCGACUUUUUUCAACGAUGGUAUGAGAGAAUCUGCGGCUCUUGUGUGGUCUUUAGGCAGACCGUCGGGGAAGAAAGCAAGGUCCACUGGGCUACGGUGAUGUUCUUCGGCGGCGGUGGUGGUGGAGAGGAGGUCACGGGUUUUCUCGGUGGUAGCGAGAGUGAAGCUAAGGUUUGGUCGUGAGAGAUGUUUGGCGAAUUUGAGCAUUGGAUUAAGAUGACCUUGAAAUGGUAGUGCUACCAAUAGAACAUGUGUUUCUUGACCCUCACUAUUUCUCAUUUCUGCUUUGUUUAGAGGUGUUACUUAUUAGACUUGAGUUGUGUAUGAGAUUGUGUGUAACUUGUAAUUGUGGUGGUAUAUAUAACAAUGGUUGCUUAACGAUAGAUUUUUGCUUAAAAUGAAGUUAUUAAGUGAGAUUUUGGUAAGAAAAAUCUAUAUAUAGUAAAAAUUGGUAACCCAAUAAAAUGUAAUAGAUUCAAAAGUUACCACGUUUAUUAGCACCCUGCGCCUUGUCCUUAACUCAAUUCAAAUCUUGUAUAAUUGUUGACCAAAAAAACACGAUAUAUAUACCAAUUCUAGUAUGGUUAAAGUCAACAGUCAUUACUAAUGAUUUAUGAAUCUUUUUGUAUAGUGUGACACUGAGAUCAUUGUAAUUUGUUAAUGACAAUCUAUAAACUGUAAUUGGUAAUCCAAUAAACGUUGGUCAAUAAAUUCAAAUUUAAUCAUGUGUUUCUAUGCUCUUGUAAAUAAAUAAAUAUAUGUUAUUUUCAAUUGUGUUAUGGUUAUGAUUAGAUUUAUAUAAAAAAUAUGGUUAUGAUUAGAUUUAUAUAAAAAAAAACAGGUCUCAAUUCAUUCGGAUCAGUCUCGUUUGUAUCUGUCUCACUUUUAGAUUUGAAAUCCGUUAAGCUCUAUUUAGUUUUUGGAACUAACAGAGUAAUCGGUUUAUACAUGCCAAAAUUCUUUUAAUCUAUUUAAAACCAUUUACGAUAUGAUGCUUAAACAUUCUUAAUAUUUAUUUUAAAUUAUAUAAACUAAGCUUUUGGAAGCUAAUCAGAAGCUAACACACCAGUAUAAUUACCAUUGUUUUUUUAUUAAAUAAUAAUUACCAAUGUUUCAAGGCAUGCUUGAAUAUUCCACUAAGAAAAAUCAUCGAAAUUGUUUAUACUAAUCUAAAAUCCUAGCAAAGGUGGGUGAAUCUUUUUUUUUAAAUAGUUAUACAUAUUUUCGAGAUGACAAAAUUUAACAAUAUGAUAAAAUCAUAUGAACACUCGAACAUUUAUGUAGAUUUUAGUUAUGUUAUAUAUCCAAGAAGAAAUGAAUAAUAUUAAGUAACAUCUAUUACAAAUAACAUAUCAAUUGGUAACAUCAGAUGGCAAAUCAAAUAACAUCAUUACGUAGUAAAUUCAUGUGCAUGCGUUACUAGCUAAGCUUGUAUUCACUUUAUAAAAGAAAAUACAAAAUAGCAAUAGCAAUAAUGAAGGGAAGAGCAGCUACGGAGGUACAGAUUCAUUGAUCGAAGAGUCGAGUUUUCUCCCAAUUGAAGAUCUCUGAAGCAAGAAAACAAAUAAUCUCUUGAAUCCUUCUGAUUUAAAUACCGACUGGUUUUAACUUUUGAUAAUAAAAUCCGGUUAUUGCCGGUUUAAAUAUAAACAUUUUUUUAAGUCGACAAAAAAAAACAUUUCAAAACAGAUGUAAAGUGAGUCAACACUAUGAUCGAUGACUUUCUAGUUGAUGAGAAACGUGCACAAAAAGAAAAGGGUAACACUAUGAUCGAUCACUUGCUUUCUCUCCAAGAAACUCAACCAGAUUAUUAUACGGAUGUCAUCGUCAAAGGACUCAUAGUUGUAAGUAUUGAGGAAUACAUUUAAUACAUCACUAACAACUAACAAGGCUAACUAAGCUUUUUAUAAUGACUAAUUCUUGACUUCUAUUUGGAUAGGUUAUGAUAUUUGCCGGAAAUGUAACAAGAACGUUAGAAUGGGCGAUGCUAAAUCUGUUGAACCAUCCAGAAGUACUAAAGAAAGCGAGGAUUGAAAUCGAUACAAACAUUGGUUUGGACAGGUUAAUAGAUGAACAGGAUGCGAAAAGUCUUCCUUACCUCCAAUGCAUCAUAUCAGAGAUUUUUCGACUUUACCCGGCAGCUCCUUUACUUGCUCCUCAUAGGGCUACAGAUGAUUGUAUAGUUGGAGGCUACGACUUCCCUCUUGGCACGACAUUAAUCGUGAACGUAUGGGCCGGCCAUUCACCGAGACCCAAACAUAUGGUAAGAGCCAGAAAAGUUCAAGUUAGAGCGGUUCGAGAAGAAAGGAGAAGAACAAAAGUUGAUGCCGUUUGGAAUGGGACGACGAGCUUGUCCCGGGUCUGGUCUAGCUCAACGGGUCGUGAGUUUGGCUCUCGGAUCGAUGAUUCAAUGUUUUGAAUGGGAGAGACUUGGAGAAGAAUAUGUUGACCUAAGCGAAGCAACCACAAUGCGUCCAACGACGCCGUUGCUAGCCAUGUGUAGAGCUUGUCCUAUUGUUCAUAAGAUUUUCAAUACUUCUUUUUGAGAUGUCACUCCCUUUUUAAAAAAUAUGUAUAUCCAUUUAUGUUAUAUCCAUUUUGAGAUGUAAUUAAAAUGAAAGACAAAGACUAGUCUUUGAUUUGCCUUAAGAUUUUCCAUUUUAUUAAAAUUCAAAAACUAUUUUUUUUUUUCAAAAACCAAAAUUUAGAAGUUAAAUGCUACUCCAUUAUCAAAUAAACUCACUUCUAAAUUUCUAUGAAUGAGGAGUAGUUUUUUACUUUGAGAAAGUGUGAAGAAAUUUUUCCAAUUUCUUAGUUUUUGUUUGUUUUUUUUUGAGAAAGGGUUAAGAAAAGGGAGCUUGUUUUAUAAUGGAAUCUCUCAUGCAAUUAUUCCCACCUGUCACUAGAGAUAUGUUCGUAACUUCGUAACGUCUCAUGCAAUUACUGACUAAUAAACAUGUGUGAUAAGUCACCAUUAAUAUUUAUUGUCUAUUUCUUUUGCUUUUAAUUAUUAGGGUUUUGAGUAGAAAUUUGUUUCUUUCUAAUAUUAUAGACAAUAUAUAUUGCUAGCGUUUACGUUUUUUAUUUUGGUUCAAAACAUAGUGGUUAAAAAUAAACAAAUCAUAAAUUUUUAUUAUUAGUCAUUAAUGAAUGAGAGACGUUACGAACAUAUCUUUAGUUUAUUAAAAAAAAAAAAAGAUAUCUUUAGUGACAGGUGUGAUAAUUGCAUGAGAGUUUUCAUUAUAAACUAAGCUACAUAAACUAAUAACUCCCACGUUCGAUUCAACACAUUUACAACAAGAAGAAGUUCUUGAUCUAAAAUGGAAACUUAUUUUCUUAUUUUAUCCCUCGCCAUCUUCUUUUUCAUUUCUCUUAAACUUUUGUUUAAUAAACCGCAUAACAAGUUUAACCUACCACCAAGUCCGGCGAGGCCACUACCGUUGAUUGGACACCUUCACCUCCUGAAGCAGCCUCUCCACCGCACAUUCCUAUCUUUCUCUCAAUCCCUCGGCAGUGCCCCAAUUUUCUCCCUCCGUCUUGGAAACCGUCUCGCGGUUGUCGUCUCCUCCUACUCCAUCGCAGAAGAAUGCUUCACGAAAAACGACAUCGUUUUGGCUAACCGACCAGAGUCCAUAGUCGGGAAAUACAUUGAGUACAACUUCACCACUGUGACCAGCGCGCCUUAUGGUGACCACUGGCGAAACUUGCGGCGUCUCAGCACCCUCGAGAUCUUCUCCUCGCACAAGCUCAAUGGCUUUAUAUCCGUCCGUAAGGACGAGAUCCGACACUUGCUACUUCGUCUCUCCAAAAACUCGCAACAUGUAUGUGAGCUUCUACAUAUUAGUACUCUAUGACUAUAUACAUUAUCAGAGUUUGUAACCUAGUAGUUUGUCUUAGUGUGGCCUCUAGGUCAUAACCUAUAUAUAUACAUUACUUGAAGAUCUGCUCAGAGUUUGUAACCUAGUAGUGUGGCCACUAAAUUAAAAGUCAUAACUUGAGUACCAUGCAACAAAAGUUUGAGAAUUAAUCAUUUGUUUAUUUGAUAAUAAAUUAGGGGUUUGCCAAGGUGGAGAUGAGAUCAUUGUUUAUGGAUUUGACUAUCAAUAACAUUCUCAGAAUGAUGGCUGGGAAAAGAUUUUAUGGUGAUGGAACAGAGCAAGACGACAAUGCACGGCGAGUGAGACAGCUUAUUGACGAGGUGGUAUCCUACGCCGGCGCCGGGAAUGCUACCGAUUAUAUCCCAAUCUUGCGUUGGAUCACAAGUUUUGAGAAACGGGUCAAGAACUUAGCGGGUCGGGUCGAUGAGUUCUUGCAGAGCCUGGUGGAUGAAAAACGUGCGGAUAAAGAAAAGGGCGACACUAUGAUGGAUCACUUGCUUUCUCUCCAAGAAAUCCAGCCUAAUUAUUACACAGAUAUCACUCUAAAGGGGAUUAUAGUUGUAAGUAUUUAUUUUCUACAUUUAUUAAUCUUGAAUAAUCUAUUUAAUAUAUAACAACACAAACUAAACAUUUGUUAAUUUAAUUUUUACAGGUUAUGAUACUUGCCGGAACUGAAACACUAACAGGAACAUUAGAAUGGGCUAUGUUGAAUUUGUUGAAUCAUCCAGAGGUAUUAACGAAAGUAAGAACCGAAAUCGAUACCAAAAUCGGUUUUGACCGGUUAAUAGAUGAACAAGAUAUUAAAAAGCUCCCUUAUCUCGAAGGGAUUGUGUUGGAGACCUUACGUCUCCACCCUGUAGCUCCUACACUUGUUCCACAUAUGACGUCAGAUGAUUGCAUGUUGGCCGGAUACGAUGUUCCAAGUGGAUCCAUGCUAUUGGUGAACGUAUGGGCCAUGCAUAGAGACCCGUCUCUAUGGGAAGAUCCAGAAAUGUUCAAGCCAGAGAGGUUCGAAAAUGAAAAUGAAAAUCAAAAGGUGUUGUCGUUUGGGAUUGGACGACGAUCAUGUCCCGGGGUUGGAUUAACUCAUCGGCUAGUGAGCUUGGCUCUUGGAUCGAUGGUUCAAUGUUUCGAAUGGGAGAGAAUUGGAGAAGAAUAUAUUGACACUAGAGAGGCACCUAUGAUGCGUCCAACUACCCCGUUGCAAGCCAUGUGUAAAACUUGUCCCAUUGUCCAUAAGAUUCUCGAUGCUUAUGCUUGAAUUGUAACUCUUCUUGGUUUGAUUUAUGUUCGGAAAUACUACAUCAACUUGUUUUGAGUUGGGAAAUAAUUCAAAAUCCUUCUAAGAACGCUCUCAUGCAAACUGUUGAAUGUAUCUUCAAGGUUCUGAUCACCAUCUAGCUGAGUCUUUACGGAAAAUUAGAUCGUCACUAAAUAUUAUCAUUUUACCUUCGAAUAUAUUGAUUUUGUUGCCCUGAUGAUACACUUGAAAUAAAUAAAAAACAACCAUAGAGACACUCAAAUAAAAAAAAAGCUCAUAGCUUUAAAAUUUCUUGUAUAUUUUGAAACUAAAAUUAAGCUAUAUUACUUAUACUGAUAUUCCAUUUCUUCACAGUAUGAUCUAAUGAUUUUUGCAAUCCUCUAUGCUUUUGUUGUUGCAAUUAUACUUAUAUCUCCAUUUCAUUACAGUAUGAUAUAUAUAUAUAUAUAUAUAUUGUAAGUUUUGCAAUCCUCUACAUAUCAUUCUUCCCACAGCUCUAUCUGAAAAUUCCAUAUAUAUGUUCAACUUAUCUCUCUUCGUGUGUUGUGAAUUGUGUAUUAGAUUUGAGUAUUACAUUUGUACUUUUACAAUUCUUUUUUUUUUUUAUAAUCUUGAAGUGCUCUAGGAAUUAUAAUUAUUAUAUCAUGUUGGAUUUUUAAGAAUUUUGGUUUUUAUGAUAUUUUGUAAAAAAUUAGAGAGUGAUGUGUUUCUAGGGACAAAAGACGAAGACUUGAAAAAUCAACCCUCGUCUUUUUCCUCAUCGUCCCAUUAGAAAUCUCAGUUUUCUCUUCAAUCUUAUCUUCUUCCUCAGAAUCCUCUUCACAUCGACCACAGGUUUCUUCAUCCAUCGACUUAUUGAAAUUUCUUGUAGUAUAAGUUAAACCAAAAUGUGUGGAAACUAUUCAACACAAAAGACUUUUCACUCUCUUCUUUCAACGUGAAUAACACUUCGUACGAAGGACUAAAUGGUGAGCCAAGCGAAGCUGAGUGGAUAUGGAGCACUGACUAUAUGUAUUUAAAGAGAUGGCAUGAAAACAAUUUAACCAUCACAAUUUCCAUUUGCUCGCUUCUUUUUCACUAUUGAUUUUCAAGAAAGUUAAAAAUUAGCUUAAAGAAAAAACGAAAGGCUCUUGAAACUCAAUGAGUACCAUUCAUAUUUCUCUUUCUUUUCUCCUCUUGUUCGUUUUUAGUUUUCAUGACGUGUUUGCUGCUCCUACUAGACACUUGUGUCGUCCGGAGCAAAGGGAUGCACUUCUCGAGUUCAAGAAUGAGUUUGAGAUUCGGAAGCCUUCUUUUGAGUGUUAUGUUAAUGGUAGCUAUGUGCGCCCUUACCCGAAGACGGAGUCAUGGGCAAAUAACACUGAUUGUUGUUAUUGGGAUGGGAUCAAGUGCGAUGCCAAAUCUGGGGAAGUGAUCGAGCUAGACCUCAGUUGCAGCUGUCUCUACGGCAAGUUUCGUUCCAAUACCAGUCUGUUUAGGCUUCACAGCUUUCGUUUUCUCACCACUUUAUACGUUUCAUAUAAUGAGUUACAUGGUCAAAUCCCGUUCUCAAUUGGAAAUCUUUCUCUUCUUACUUCUCUCGACCUUUCUUCCAAUGGGUUUUCGGGUCAGAUUCCAUCUUCAAUUGGAAAUCUAUCACUGCUUACCUUUCUGAGACUUUCUGAUAAUCAGUUUUCGGGUCAGAUUCCAUCUUCAAUUGGAAAUCUUUCACAGAUUACCACUCUCCGUUUUUCCUUUAAUCAGUUUUCGGGUCAGAUUCCGUCUUCAAUUGGAAAUCUUUCACUUCUUACCUCUCUUGAUCUUUCUUCCAAUCAGUUUUCGGGUGAGAUUCCAUCUUCAAUUGGAAAUCUUUCACUGCUUACCUCUCUCUAUCUUUCUUUCAAUCAGUUUUUGGGUCAGAUUCCAUCAUCAAUUGGAAAUCUUUCACUGCUCACCUCUCUCCAUCUUUCUUAUAAUGGGUUUUCGGGUGAGAUUCUAUCAUCAAUUGGAAAUCUUUCACUGCUCACCUCUCUUCAUCUUUCUUAUAAUGGGUUUUCGGGUGAGAUUCCAUCCUCAAUUAAAAAUCUUUCACAGCUCACCUUUCUCAAACUUUCUUCCAAUCAGUUUUCGGGUCAGAUUCCAUCUUCAAUUAAAAAGCUCUCUCAUCUCCAAACUCUUCACCUCAGAUAUAACAAAUUCACUGGUGAAAUCCCAGAUUCUUUUGCCAGUUUGAAAAAUUUGACCGAGUUAGAUGUUAGUUUCAAUAAGCUUAGUGGUAAUUUUCCAAUUUGGCUACUAAAUUUGACAAAGUUGUCGUAUUUAUCACUCGAAUACAAUCAACUCACAGGAACGCUUCCCUCAAACAUUAGCUCACUCUCCAACUUGCGAUAUUUUUGGGCACGUGACAAUGAUUUCGUUGGAACCAUUCCUUCUUCUCUCUUCACCAUUCCUUCUUUGACAAGAAUUUAUUUGUCAAAUAACCAACUCAACGGCACUCUUGAGUUUGGGAAUAUAUCUUCACCAACAAAGCUAGAGUGGUUAGAGCUUGGCGGUAACAACUUGAGAGGGCCAAUACCGAGAUCCAUUUCCAAAUUAGUCAACCUCCGGGGACUUUACCUUUCCAAUUGGAACACCCAAUUAGGCCCAAUUGACUUGAGUAUCUUCUCGCAUCUCAAGUCACUCGGAUUUCUUUACUUAUCCCAUUUGAACACCACCACCACGAUUGACUUGAAUGCCAUCUUAUCAUUUUUCAAGUCGCUCGAAGGAUUGGAUCUCUCAGGCAACCAUGUUUCAGCCGAAACCAAGAGCUCAGUUUCAGAUCCUCCUUCGCAAAUGAUACGAGAAUUAAACUUGUCAGGCUGCGGUAUUACCGAAUUUCCAGAGAUCAUAAGAACCCUGCAGUCUAUGGAGAGACUAGACAUUUCCGACAACAAAAUCAAAGGUCAAGUGCCUGGCUGGUUAUGGACUCCACCAAAUCUGACGUACGUGAAUCUUUCCAACAACACUUUCGUCAGUUUCGGAAGACCAACGAAACAUGGACUAUCCUCUGGCUUGUGGUACUUGUCUGGCUCCAGAAACAAUUUCACGGGAAAGAUUCCCUCCUUCAUAUGUGCGUUGGGCUCUCUAAGCGUUCUCGAUUUAUCUGAAAACAACUUCACGGGAAAGAUUCCCUCCUUCAUAUGCGCGUUGGGCUCUCUAAGCGUUCUCGAUUUAUCUGAAAACAACUUCAAUGGUUCAAUCCCUCUUUGUAUGGAGAAUCUCAAGAGUAAUCUUUCGGUUCUAAACCUCCGUCAGAAUCAUCUUAGCGGAGGCCUUCCGGAGAAUGUAUUUGAAAGUCUAAGGUCCCUUGACGUUGGUCAUAACCAACUGGUGGGAAAGCUUCAAAGAUCUUUGAUCCAUUUCUCUGCCCUUGAAGUUCUAAAUCUGGAAAGCAACAGAUUCAACGACACCUUUCCGUUUUGGUUGAGUUCUCUACAAAACCUGCAAGUUCUUGUCUUACGCUCCAAUGCAUUCCAUGGACCGAUUCAUCGAGCCUCCUUCCUUCAGCUGAAAAUCAUGGACAUCUCGCAUAAUCACUUCAACGGAGUUUUACCGUCGGAUUACUUUGUGAACUGGAGUAAAAUGUCAUCACUUGGGACAGAAAAAGAUCGGUCGGAUGUAAACUACAUGGGAGAAGGUACCUAUUACGAAGAUUCAAUGGUUUUGAUGAAUAAAGGCUUAGAGAUGGAGCUGGUACGUAUAUUAAAAAUCUUCACAGCACUCGACUUCUCCGGAAAUAGAUUUGAAGGAGAGAUUCCAAGGUCCAUCGGCCUAUUGAGAGAGCUUCACGUGCUCAACUUGUCAAACAAUGCUUUCACUGGCCACAUUCCAUCAUCUAUGGGGAACCUGACAGCUCUCGAGUCACUUGACGUUUCCCAAAACAAGCUUUCAGGUGAGAUCCCACAAGAGCUAGGGAAUCUCUCGUACCUUUCUUCCAUGAACUUCUCUCAUAACCAGCUUGUCGGUCUAGUACCUGGAGGCACUCAGUUUCGAACGCAGCCUUGCUCUUCCUUCGAACACAACUCAGGACUUUUUGGCCCUUCUCUUGACGAAGUUUGCAAAGAUAUCCACAAGCCAUCAUCGCAAGAGUAUGAAACACCGGAGGAGGCAGAGGAAGAAGACGAAGAGGUGUUUAGUUGGAUUGCAGCUGCAAUAGGAUUUGGACCUGGCAUUGUAUUAGGAUUGACGAUUGGAUACAUAUUGGCCUUCUACAAACCGAGGUGGUUCACGAGUCCUUUUGGCCGAAACAAACACAGAAGCAGAAGCACCACAGCUCAUUAAGUGAGGUAAUCUUCUGAAUUUCAUAGAUUAUAGACUAUGUAUAGUAUAAUGAAUUUUUCUGGGUUAAUGUAUACUGUAUGUGAAAAUUAACUUUUUACGCCGUUUUUGUUUGUAUAGCGUUCUUAAACCCAAGAUGAAAAAUCUUUGAAAAAGAGAAUGAAGCAACCAGACCAUAGGACUGUAGAGAAAGAAGCUUGGGGAGAAGGCAACCCAUUUUAUCAAAAACUAAAUAUCAGUGAUUGUUUCCGGUUUAGUUUUGUGUGUUUAUCAUAUACUCUGUUUUUAGCCAAUGUUUUUGUUUCUCUGUAAUUGAACAAUGAAAGACUGUUUACAAAGCUCAAACUUAUUCCUAUUUCUCUGUGAUUGGACAUGAUUUGAGAGAGGUUAUAAUGCUCUUGCUCCGACUAAAUCAAUCAUUCUUCUGCCAAAUGAAGAACUAAGAUUCAACACACAUCUCAGAAAAUUGAUCCUUUUUCUCUUUUGGUAAUAUUAAUUAGCUGAGUAAAAUGAUAACUUAAUUAGUUUAUUGAAAGAUAUUUCACUGAGAAAUAUAUUAGUUAGUGGCGAUCAGGAUCAGCGACCAAUUAAAGCUAUAGAUAUAGUUGCUUAAAACCCAAGCUUUGCCAUUACAAUGAGGAAAAAAAAUCAUCUCACAAAUCAUUCCACUUUCCAACUACUGAAACUCUACAAUAGUCAAAUGACUCAAAUCGGAAUAAGAAAGUUAUACAUACACACAUAAUUUAAGGUCACAAUGACAAAAUCGUCGGUCUUACCAAAAAGAGUAUAAGUAUUCAUCAAAAGACAUCUUCUAAAAUGAAUUAUAUUAAAAAAAUUUGGUGAAAACAAACAAGAAAUUUUUACUGCUUAAUUAUUUUUGUUUUUAAAAACCAAAAGGUAAAUGGAAGUCGCUCUAAUUUUUACUUAUAAACCAAAACAAGAAAUUUUCAGUUAUAUCGUUCUAAGAUGAUGCAAUUGAUAGUAUAAUCUAUACGACUCUAUACUCCACUGAUACUUUUUCGUUUUUAAGCAGACAACUUUUCAGAGUACAAAUCUUUUGUUAUUUUUAUUCCUGGGAGAUGUAUAUCCUAUAAACAAAACUGUGUUAAAUGGAAGGACUUCAUGGACACCAAAACCAGAGGAGAAACGAAGACAGACGGUUUAGAAAUAUUUUGAUCACAUCCAAAAAAUAUAAUUCGAUAUUUUUUAUCAGAUUAAAGAAAAAACGUAUCAUUUUGAUCACAUCACAAAGUCAGUGCAAAAUCACAUCCAAAAAACUGUGAUAAUUUUGAUCACAUCACAAAGUCAGUGCAAAAUCAUAUAAAAAAAAUUCGAAUAAAGAAAAAACGUAUCAUGCCAAACGAAACCAAACAAAUAAAUAGAUAACAGUUGACUGACCGAGUCAGUCAUGGACAAAAACGAAGACUUGAAAAGUCAACUCCGGUCUUCUUCCUUAUUGUCCCACCAAUAAUUUACUUUUUUUCCUUCAAUCUCAUCUUCUUCCUCAAUCCUCUGAACAUCGACCACAUAUUUCUUCAUCCAUUGACCUCAAAACUUGACUUUCAUAGUUUCACUAUUGACUCUCUUUCUUUCUCUCUCUCUCUCUAGAUUUUCCAACAAAGCUAUGGAGAAACUCUGUUUUCGAAACUCAUUUUCUCUCUUUAUGACGACUGUGGUCAUUAUUCUUCUUCCUCGUUGCACUCUUUCUGCUACUUCUAUAUAUUCUCAUCGUCCCGAGAAGUUUUACGUCAACUGUGGGUCGGAUUCUAUUGUCACUUAUGGUGGUCGGACCUUCGUCGGAGAUAUGAUCUCCGGUGGCAACUCCGUUUCUUUCAACAGUAAAGGAACUGAAGCCAUCAAUCAAUCAGGAUCAGGAAUCUAUGAAACGGUUAGGAUAUUCAGACGCCCUUCUUCUUACAAGUUCCAACUCGAUUCCAUUGGUCUGCACUUCGUGCGUCUCCAUUUCUCUGCUGUCUCUUCUCGGACAGAGCUUUUAACUGCUCGUUUCACAGUCUCAGCUACUUCUCACUUGAAAAGUUUCUCGCUUCAGAAUUUCAAUGAGACCCCACGAGUUGAGGAGUUUCUCCUGAUGAUUGACUCGCCAGAAUUCGAAAUUCGAUUUGUGCCCGAUCAUUCAUCCAUGGCUUUUGUCAACGCCAUCGAAGUGUUCUCUGCUCCUAAUGACCUAGAAAUUCCGUCAGACUCCGACAAGAAUCUGCAUACGGUUUACAGAUUAAACGUAGGAGGCAAGAAGAUCACACCAGAAAACGACACCUUGGGAAGAACUUGGUCAGUUGACGAGGACUUCCUCUACGAAAAAGAUUCUGCGAGGAACAUUAAUUCAACACAAAAGCCUAACUACGAGUCAGGGACAGCGACGCCAUUCACUGCUCCUGAUUUUGUCUAUCAGACAGCGAAAACGAU